CGCGAGAUUUAUGACGUCACCUUGACGACACUUUCACUACUGGCAUCGCCAUUGUUGAGGUUAUACUGCUGUCAUAUUACAACUUAUCUGCUGCUUUUUGCCUUGUCUUGUGCUCAUCUCCGCUUGUGAAAACCAUGAGCGCAUACACCCAAGCUCUUGACCUCGUGAUCAGGUUCCCUUUGAACUUUGACAUCUGGGCCCCUCCUCGCCAAGAUGAAGAUAUCAGGAUCUGUAAAAGGACCAAUGAUGAGCAGAAAGCAGGUGCCUUGGGAUGAACCUGCAUAGACAGUUGUCUGAUAUGGUUCUGUCUGAUUUUCAAUUUCAAAUAAGUGUAUGAUUCAAAAUAAAACUUCUCAACCCUG